UAAGGUGAUAUGAACCGUUAUAACCGGCGAUUUCCGAAUGGGGAAACCCAGUGUGACUCGUCACACUAUCAUUAACUGAAUCCAUAGGUUAAUGAGGCGAACCGGGGGAACUGAAACAUCUAAGUACCCCGAGGAAAAGAAAUCAACCGAGAUUCCCCCAGUAGCGGCGAGCGAACGGGGAGGAGCCCAGAGCCUGAAUCAGCAUGUGUGUUAGUGGAAGCGUCUGGAAAGGCGCGCGAUACAGGGUGACAGCCCCGUACACAAAAGCGCAUGUGCUGUGAGCUCGAUGAGUAGGGCGGGACACGUGGUAUCCUGUCUGAAUAUGGGGGGACCAUCCUCCAAGGCUAAAUACUCCUGACUGACCGAUAGUGAACCAGUACCGUGAGGGAAAGGCGAAAAGAACCCCGGCGAGGGGAGUGAAAAAGAACCUGAAACCGU
rnacentral:rRNA from 2 species